AUAGGGCUGAGACGGCGAGUGCAGCAGUGACCCGUAUAAUGGGGUAUGCUUGCGAGUUGGGCUGAUUUCUAAUAAAACUUAAAGAUCACCCCGUUUGGACCCAAUUGGACAUGUUCAAUGGCCCUAAAUGUGAAGGAAUCUAAGUUAGAACCAUGAUGGAGAGAAAAAUGCCAAGAGAGUUUUGUGACUUCCUGAAAAUUAUCUCAGGGUGUUCCAGAAGCAUCUCAUUCAAGAUGGGAUCCAUCUUCAUGAUGUUCCAGUGUUUAGAGAAGGCUUUCUUGAUUAUGUUCUUCACAAUUGUAUUGGGUGUCAAAAGGCUUUUCUUUCACCCCUUUUAGUCUUUUGCUGAAGGAGCUCUCCAACAUCUCACUUUUCUCGGUGCAAUUUUUAAUGAUAUUUGAGGGUAACCUCUUUCUCUGAAUCUAAGUAAAUCUUGGAUUGUUCCUCAUAUAAUACAGGAUCACUACAGUUCCAUUUGAUUUUUUGAUAAUUUUUCCAUUGGGUGGUGUGGCUGCUCCCAUAAUGUAGUAGCUGUUGGUGUCCACUGUUUUAUAAAAAAUGUUGUUAUUUUGCCAUUAUCGUUCGACAGUUAUCAAGUCUAAAAAUUCCACUUGUGUUUUACUUGUGCAAGUAAAUUUCAAGUUAAAAUCAUUAAUACUGUAUGUAUAAAGGGGCUAAUUCAACAAGGAACGCAAAAAUCGCAAAAAUUGCGAAAAUAUAUCAAAUCUGAGACAAAAAAUUAAAUUUCUGAGACAAAAAAUACAACUUCUGAGACAGCAAAAACUGCGUAUGCACUACAAAAAUUAGGCAUGUAGGGGGCAUACUAAAGGUCUGGAUUCGCAAAAACUACGAGAAGGGGCUUGUGGGCGUAUGCAGAUUUUAUAUAGGCGGAGCAUACGCAUUUUUUGCAACUGAAUGCACAUUUAUGGUGUGCAGUUUCUGAGUGACUACAGGUCAACCUUAAAAUCUGCACAAGCUGACCUCAGUUGUAGAAUGUUCGAUGUAUACUGCAAUCAUUGCUUCAUUACACCCAGGUGAAGCUGCUCACGUUGCUGACCACAAUUCAGUUUAUUCAGCUGCAUUGAAACUUAACAUGUAAGGGAGCUUUAAACUAUUUAACACAUGUACUAGUCUAAAAUAUAUGUUAGUAGUAACCUAAUAAUUCUUUAAGUUAAUAACAAUGCAGGUUUGUCAAGAACACACUUGUUUUCCUACAGACAUGUACAAUAACAUUUACAAGCAAGUUUUUAAAAAAAAAUUUGUUUGGUUAAUGGCUUUUUGUUUAAAAGCUGAGUUUUUUAUGAUUUAAAGCAACAAACAAUUAUUAUCUUCAAAAAUCAUACCCACAUACAUGUGUAAGGUUUUUUUUUUUGUUUUGUUUUUUUCCCCCCUUGACAAAGAAACAUGUUCAAUAACAUCACAACAAUAAUUGUGAUUUUGUGGACAUUUUAAUUAUGCGCCACUUUUUUAAAAAAGAUUUUCACAUUAAAUAAUAACAUAAGGAAUGUUAAUAACAACAAAAAACAUUAAUAUGUCAUGUAUGUAAACUUUCAACAUAAAAAAAAACUAUUUUUUAUUUCUUUUUCCACUUGCGUUUGUGGAUUCACCCUAGCGGAAGUAGCUUGUCUUGUUGUUCGACGCAUCCUGUCAGUAGGCAUGGUUGGCUCAAUGUUAUGUGUGGCUGAUGUUAAAUUGUGACAUCAGAAACCUUUAUGCAAAAAAUGCGACAAAGUAAUUUUUUUCGCAAAAAAUGCAGAUUUUUAAAUCUAAUCGCAUAAUUUGCAAAUUUGACAAGUCCGCCUUUUUUUGUAACAUUGAAUUAGUGUUGCAGAUUUUCCGUUUGGGCGUGCUUUUGCAGUUUUGCGAUUGGUCGCUGUUUUUGCUAAUUUGUACUUUUUACGAUCCUUACUGAAUUAGCCCCAAAAUCCAUGAAUUCCCCCACUUCCGUCUCAGAUUAAGAUUAUAUCAUUAAUAUAUUGUUUAUAAAAACAAAUGUUGUUGAAAAAUGGAUUAUUAGACUAUAUAAAAGUGCUUCUCCACAUGCCCAUUAAAAUAUUUGUAUAACUUGGUGCAAAAACAGUACCCAUGCCUGUGCCACAAUUUUGUAAGUAAAAUUGGUCCAAAAAUGUAAAAUAAUUAUAUGUCAAGAUAAACUGAAUGUGGGUACAUAAAAAAUCACUAUGUGCCUCUGUUAUAUUCGGAUCAGAUUCCAAUAUCUCACGGCAGGAUUUAAUCCCCUUUUCAUGAGUAAUGCUAGUAUACAAGGACUGUACAUCAAUAGUUGUCCAUAAAAAUGUUUAUUCCCAUUUAAAAUAUUUCAAAAAGUUCA